GCGGGAGUAACUCAGUGGUAGAGUCCCUGUUUUCCAAAUAGGAUGUCGCGGGUUCGAAUCCCGUCUCCCGCUCCA
rnacentral:tRNA from 2 species